UCGAAAGCCUGUCCCAGUUCGGACUGGAGUCUGCAACCCGACUCCACGAAGUUGGAUUCGCUAGUAAUCGCGCAUCAGCCAUGGCGCGGUGAAUACGUUCCCGGGCCUUGUACACACCGCCCGUCAAGCCAUGGGAGCCGGGGGCGCCUGAAGUGCGCUGCCGCAAGGAGCGCCCUAGGGUAAAACCGGUGACUGGGGCUAAGUCGUAACAAGGUAGC
rnacentral:rRNA from 1 species